rnacentral:rRNA from 1 species
CCCUUAGAUGUUCUGGGCCGCACGCGCGCUACACUGACGAAUGCAACGAGCUUAUAACCUUGGCCGAAAGGUCUGGGUAAUCUCCAAAUUUCGUCGUGAUGGGGAUAGAUUAUUGCAAUUAUUAAUCUUCAACGAGGAAUGCCUAGUAAGCGCAAGUCAUCAGCUUGCGUUGAUUACGUCCCUGCCCUUUGUACACACCGCCCGUCGUUCCUACCGAUUGAAUGAUCCGGUGAAGCGUUCGGACCGUGGCCUUUGGACGGUUCGCCGUCUGUUGGCUGCGGGAAGUUCGUUAAACCUUAUCAUUUAGAGGAAGGAGAAGUCGUAACA